rnacentral:rRNA from 1 species
AUUGAACGCUGGCGGAAUGCUUUACACAUGCAAGUCGAACGGCAGCACGGACUUCGGUCUGGUGGCGAGUGGCGAACGGGUGAGUAAUGUAUCGGAACGUGCCCAGUCGUGGGGGAUAACGUAGUGAAAAUUACGCUAAUACCGCAUACGAUCUAUGGAUGAAAGCGGGGGAUCGCAAGACCUCGCGCGAUUGGAGCGGCCGAUAUCAGAUUAGGUAGUUGGUGGGGUAAAGGCCCACCAAGCCAACGAUCUGUAGCUGGUCUGAGAGGACGACCAGCCACACUGGAACUGAGACACGGUCCAGACUCCUACGGGAGGCAGCAGUGGGGAACUUUGGACGAUGGGCGAAAGCCUGAUCCAGCCAUUCCGCGUGCAGGAUGAAGGCCCUCGGGUUGUAAACUGCUUUUGUACAGAACGAAAAGGUUUCUACUAAUACUAGGAGCUCAUGACGGUACUGUAAGAGUAAGCACCGGCUAGCUACGUGCCAGCCGCCGCCGUAA